GAGUUUGAUCAUGGCUCAGAACGAACGCUGGCGGCAGGCCUAAUACAUGCAAGUCGAGCGCGCCCUUCGGGGUGAGCGGCGGACGGGUGAGUAACGCGUGGGAAUAUGCCCUUCUCUAAGGAAUAGCCUCUGGAAACGGAGAGUAAUACCUUAUACGCCCUUUGGGGGAAAGAUUUAUCGGAGAAGGAUUAGCCCGCGUUAGAUUAGGUAGUUGGUGGGGUAAUGGCCUACCAAGCCUACGAUCUAUAGCUGGUUUGAGAGGAUGAUCAGCCACACUGGGACUGAGACACGGCCCAGACUCCUACGGGAGGCAGCAGUAGGGAAUCUUGCACAAUGGAGGAAACUCUGAUGCAGCGAUGCCGCGUGAGUGAAGAAGGCCUUUGGGUUGUAAAGCUCUUUCGUCGGGGAAGAAAAUGACUGUACCCGAAUAAGAAGGUCCGGCUAACUUCGUGCCAGCAGCCGCGGUAAUACGAAGGGACCUAGCGUAGUUCGGAAUUACUGGGCUUAAAGAGUUCGUAGGUGGUUGAAAAAGUUGGUGGUGAAAUCCCAGAGCUUAACUCUGGAACUGCCAUCAAAACUUUUCAGCUAGAGUAUGAUAGAGGAAAGCAGAAUUUCUAGUGUAGAGGUGAAAAUCGUAGAUAUUAGAAAGAAUACCAAUUGCGAAGGCAGCUUUCUGGAUCAUUACUGACACUGAGGAACGAAAGCAUGGGUAGCGAAGAGGAUUAGAUACCCUCGUAGUCCAUGCCGUAAACGAUGUGUGUUAGACGUUGGAAAUUUAUUUUCAGUGUCGCAGGGAAACCGAUAAACACACCGCCUGGGGAGUACGACCGCAAGGUUAAAACUCAAAUGAAUUGACGGGGACCCGCACAAGUAGUGGAGCAUGUGGUUUAAUUCGAAGAUACGCGCAGAACCUUACCAACACUUGACAUGUUCGUCGCGACUCUAAGAGAUUAGAGUUUUCGGUUCGGCCGGACGAAACACAGGUGCUGCAUGGCUGUCGUCAGCUCGUGUCGUGAGAUGUUGGGUUAAGUCCCGCAACGAGCGCAACCCUCACUUUUAGUUGCCAUCAUUAAGUUGGGCACUCUGAAAGAACUGCCAGUGAUAAGCUGGAGGAAGGUGGGGAUGACGUCAAGUCCUCAUGGCCCUUACGUGUUGGGCUACACACGUGCUACAAUGGCAUCUACAACAGGAAGCAAAACGGCAACGUUAAGCAAAUCCCGAAAAGAUGCCUCAGUUCGGAUUGCACUCUGCAACUCGAGUGCAUGAAGCUGGAAUUACUAGUAAUCGUGGAUCAGCGUGCCACGGUGAAUGCGUUCCCGGGUCUUGUACACACCGCCCGUCACACCAUGGGAGUUGGUUCUACCUUAAGGCAAGGUUUUAAACCCUUGACCACGGUAUAGUCAGCGACUGGGGUGAAGUCGUAACAAGGUAACC
rnacentral:rRNA from 1 species